GAUCAUGGCUCAGGACGAACGCCGGCGGCGUGCCUAAUACAUGCAAGUCGAACGCUUCUUUCCUCCCGAGUGCUUGCACUCAAUUGGAAAGAGGAGUGGCGGACGGGUGAGUAACACGUGGGUAACCUACCCAUCAGAGGGGGAUAACACUUGGAAACAGGUGCUAAUACCGCAUAACAGUUUAUGCCGCAUGGCAUAAGAGUGAAAGGCGCUUUCGGGUGUCGCUGAUGGAUGGACCCGCGGUGCAUUAGCUAGUUGGUGAGGUAACGGCUCACCAAGGCCACGAUGCAUAGCCGACCUGAGAGGGUGAUCGGCCACACUGGGACUGAGACACGGCCCAGACUCCUACGGGAGGCAGCAGUAGGGAAUCUUCGGCAAUGGACGAAAGUCUGACCGAGCAACGCCGCGUGAGUGAAGAAGGUUUUCGGAUCGUAAAACUCUGUUGUUAGAGAAGAACAAGGACGUUAGUAACUGAACGU
rnacentral:rRNA from 1 species